CUUACGGGAGGCAGCAGUGGGGAAUAUUGGACAAUGGGGGAAAGCCUGAUCCAGCCAUGCCGCGUGUGUGAAGAAGGUCUUCGGAUUGUAAAGCACUUUAAGUUGGGAGGAAGGGCAGUAAGUUAAUACCUGCUGUUUUGACGUUACCCACAGAAUAAGCACCGGCUAACUCUGUGCCAGCAGCCGCGGUAAU
rnacentral:rRNA from 1 species